rnacentral:tmRNA from 1 species
GGGGAUGUAAAGGUUUCGACAGGGGCGAGUGUGGUAUAGAUAGCGAGUCGGCGUUCCAUUGGGCCGUUAAACGGUGGAAAAACAUUUAAACGCAGAAGAAAAUUUUGCAUUAGCUGCAUAAGCUACGUCCCUCAUACUUG